AUUGAACGCUGGCGGCAUGCCUAACACAUGCAAGUCGAACGGCAGCACAGGGAGGCUUCCCUCUUGGGGGUCGCGUGGGGCGGGGGUGUGACAUAUAGCUGAACGUCCCGUUUAACGGGGGAUAACUAGUCGAAAGAUUAACUAUAACAGCAUAUACUCUGAGCCGGAAAGCAGAGGAGCUUCAGGCGUUUUGGUAGUCUAGUGUCCAUUAUCUCAUUAGCUAGUUGGUGGGGUAAAGGCCAACCAAGGCGACGAUCAGUAGCGGGUCUGAGAGGAUGAUCAGCCACACUGGAACUGAGACACGGUCCAGACUCCUACGGGAGGCAGCAGUGGGGAAUAUUGGACAAUGGGCGCAAGCCUGAUCCAGCCAUGCCGCGUGUGUGAAGAAGGCCUUCGGGUUGUAAAGCCCUUUUGUUAGGGAAGAAAAGGUGGUUGCUAAUAUCGGCGGGUGAUGACGGUACCUAAAGAAUAAGCACCGGCUAACUACGUG
rnacentral:rRNA from 1 species